CUCGAGCCCCAUGCGUAUGCCGAGCUGCAUCGAGCUCAGACAGAGACAGACUGAAGAGCAAACACGCCGGGCUGCUGAGCGGAUCCUGCGCACUGAUGACACAAUCGGCACAUCUUCAGGCGUCUGUUUUAACUUUGCUGACAGGCUUCUUCCAUCAAGCAGAGGAGACUGACGAACACCAGACAGGAAACAAUUCAUACAUGAAGCCUCCAUUAUGCCCUGAAAGUCUGGUGGUUUUGAGAACAGAGAAAAGGAGCGACACAACAGCAGCGCUUCAUUUCUUUUAAAGCGAAAAACGAUUUUCUUGGACGGCUGGUGCUUGGUUCCUCUUUACCUCCCUAAGCUUGCUCAGAAGGUUGGUCGAUAUGUGGACCGUGAGGGCCUGGGGGACGGGCCGCAGGGCCGUGGACCUCACCUCCUGCCCGCGGAUGCUCAACGGAGGCUACCACCAAGUGACCGGCCUCCACUACAUGUCGUCCUUCUCGGACGCCGAGGACUGCGGCGAUGACAGCAGCUCGGCAAGCUCGCUCACGCUGGACUGGCAGCUUCAGGGAGCUGAUGGUUGAGGUUCCUCCAGGAAUUUAAUGUCAUGAUCUGAAAUGUGGUGUAUUUAUAGUGAAAACGAAGGAAGAUGUUUUUAUUUAUUUAUUUUUUCUUAAUUUGCAACAUCUUUAUUAAUGAUAUUCAAAUAUUUUACUUUAACUUACGUCAAAUGAAUUAACAUUAAUGGUUUGGAGUCAAAUGUAAUCUGUUAAGGGAGCAAGUAGCCUUUCCAACCUUGACGAACCGGAGCUCAUCAUGAAUGAUGAAGCAUUAAAAUGCUAGGAGACAGAUACAAAUUGAUGGUCAGCAACUAUCAGGAGGGCCGAGCAGCAAAUAAAUGGAUAUUGAGAAGAGAAUCCAUAAUUUUCUACGUGCCAUCUUUUAUUAAAACAUGAAUAAAAACAUUUUGUAUCUA